CACGUAGGGGGCAAGCGUUGUCCGGAUUUAUUGGGCGUAAAGAGCUCGUAGGCUGUUCGGUAAGUCGGGUGUGAAACCCCCAGGCUCAACCUGGGGACGCCACCUGAUACUGCUGUGACUCGAGUCCGGUAGGGGAGCGUGGAAUUCCUGGUGUAGCGGUGAAAUGCGCAGAUAUCAGGGGGAACACCAGCGGCGAAGGCGGCGCUCUGGGCCGGUACUGACGCUGAGGAGCGAAAGCGUGGGUAGCAAACAGG
rnacentral:rRNA from 1 species